GCGAACGUAUCACCCAAGACAACUUUGCGGAGUUGACGAUUGACGGAGCGAAGCGACGUCAAAGCGUUCAUUAAAGUCGAGUUGGCUUAGGGAUACGUUCGUUGGGUAGGGGAGCGUUCUGUAAGCCAGUGAAGGUGUGUCGUGAGGCAUGCUGGAGGUAUCAGAAGUGCGAAUGCUGACAUAAGUAACGAUAAAGCGGGUGAAAAGCCCGCUCGCCGGAAGACCAAGGGUUCCUGUCCAACGUUAAUCGGGGCAGGGUGAGUCGACCCCUAAGGC
rnacentral:rRNA from 1 species